rnacentral:rRNA from 1 species
AGUGAACGCUGGCGGUAGGCCUAACACAUGCAAGUCGAACGGCAGCACAGUAAGAGCUUGCUCUUACGGGUGGCGAGUGGCGGACGGGUGAGGAAUACAUCGGAAUCUACUUUUUCGUGGGGGAUAACGGAGGGAAACUUACGCUAAUACCGCAUACGACCUACGGGUGAAAGCAGUGGAUCUUCGGACCUUGCGCGAUUGAAUGAGCCGAUGUCGGAUUAGCUAGUUGGCGGGGUAAAGGCCCACCAAGGCGACGAUCCGUAGCUGGUCUGAGAGGAUGAUCAGCCACACUGGAACUGAGACACGGUCCAGACUCCUACGGGAGGCAGCAGUGGGGAAUAUUGGACAAUGGGCGCAAGCCUGAUCCAGCCAUGCCGCGUGGGUGAAGAAGGCCUUCGGGUUGUAAAGCCCUUUUGUUGGGAAAGAAAAGCAGCAGGUGAAUACCCCGCUGUUCUGACGGUACCCAAAGAAUAAGCACCGGCUAACUUCGUG